rnacentral:lncRNA from 1 species
GUGUUGUUCUUCUCGUAGUGAGUUUUUUAAAUUAUAUAAACUAUCACAUGUACUUUUAUCUAAAUUUUCUAAGGUUUUUUCUAUCCAUACUAAUUUUUCUUUUAGGUCUUUCAUUAUUUGUCUAAUUCGGUUUCUAUAAUUAAUUUCAUUAUUUAGAUUUUCUUGAUUUUCUCUAGUUUGUCUAAUAUAUUCUAACAUAUCUUAAUCUGAAUAAUAUCCUUC